rnacentral:rRNA from 1 species
UACGUAGGGGGCUAGCGUUGUCCGGAUUUAUUGGGCGUAAAGAGCGUGUAGGCGGCCACGCAGGUCCGUUGUGAAAACUGGAGGCUCAACCUCCAGCUGUCGACGGAAACCGUAUGGCUAGAGUCCGGAAGAGGAGAGUGGAAUUCCUGGUGUAGCGGUGAAAUGCGCAGAUAUCAGGAAGAACACCCGUGGCGAAAGCGGCUCUCUGGGACGGUACUGACGCUGAGACGCGAAAGCGUGGGGAGCGAACAGG